rnacentral:lncRNA from 1 species
AGUCCACGCGCUGUCCGCCUGCCUGCAGAAGUGGCUCUGAGAGCUGUUUGAGGAGAAAAUGGGGGACUUUGGGCUUCAGCCCGAGGAGAACACGGUGGAGAUGGAGGAGCCCCUGGGGGUCCGCAGGUUAACUGAAAACAUGGGAGGACACAAGCGUGGGACCAAGUCUGUCACUAACCUGUAAAGAACUCUGACCAAGCUGACUGGGCACUCUGUCUGCGCGCCUUUCUUUGCCACCACGUGUGCGGGAAUGCCUGGGGCACGACUGGGCCAUCUCAGUGUUCUUGUUUCUAGCCAUUCCGAGGUUACCCCUCAGCAAAACGCCAGAGGCCGGCAGACACAGUGGAGCAUCCUGCAGUAGGGAUCCGAAGCCGUGGAAUCUCCAAAGGGCCACGACUGCUUCCCAGAAGCUCUAGCCCGUUGCCCGGAAAGCCCAGGUGGUCUUUGGCAAGACAGCUCUGGGGCACCUUCCUGUCCUUCUGCUUUUUCCUUGGCCGCCUUAGGGGGCGCGCCUCGCCAUGGGUCUCCCUGCGGGCGGCGCGGUGGUGCUCCUGGAUGUCACCUCCAGGCGCUUUUGAGACUGCGACCGGCACCGGGCGCCCAGCACCUGCGGAUUGGCCUCCCCACGCCUGGCUCAAGGACCUCCAGCACUCCGCAGUGCGGGCUGCAGGCGACCUCAACGUGGAGCUGCUGCCAGCGCCACAGGCCCCAGGGAAGCCCAGGAUCUGCUUCCCAGGCCCAAGAAGGGCAGUUUCGGAAAGUCUUUGGCGUGAUGGAAGGCGGCGCCCAUCUGGGGCGGGGCUGAGAACUAGGCUGGCGCCGCUGCCUGGUAAGCGGGGACCAAGAGGCCCACGGCCUCCAUCAGGAACCAGGUGCUUGUCCAAAUCCCGGACUUCAAGGAGCAGCAAUGGUGUCAAGCUGGCUGACACCAGGAACACCCAGAAGUCCCCGCUCCUGUCCUUCCGCACUCAGGAGUGGGGAUGGCCACAGGGACACCAUCCGCCCACAAACCACUGGCCUUUGCUGCCAUGGUGCGCGGAGAUGCGGUUCCCGAGGCCACUUUUGGCCAGGACGCCGGGAUCUUAUCAGCGGCAGCA